rnacentral:rRNA from 1 species
UACGUAGGGGGCAAGCGUUGUCCGGAAUUAUUGGGCGUAAAGAGCGCGUAGGCGGUCCGGUAAGUCGGUUGUGAAAGUCGGGGGCUCAACCCUCGGAUGCCGAUCGAUACUGCCGGACUAGAGUUCGGAAGAGGCGAGUGGAAUUCCCGGUGUAGCGGUGAAAUGCGCAGAUAUCGGGAGGAACACCAAUGGCGAAGGCAGCUCGCUGGGACGGUACUGACGCUGAGGCGCGAAAGCUAGGGGAGCGAACGGG